GAUGAACGCUGGCGGCGUGCCUAAUACAUGCAAGUCGAGCGAACAGACGAGGAGCUUUCUCCUCUGCCGUUAGCGGCGGACGGGUGAGUAACACGUGGAUAACCUACCUAUAGGCCUGGGAUAACCUCGGGAAACCGGAGCUAAUACCGGAUAAUAUAUUCAACCGCAUGGCUCAUUAGUGAAAUACAGUUUUUCUGUCUCGUAUAGAUGGAUCCGCGCCGCAUUAGCUAGUUGGUAAGGUAACGGCAUAUCAAGGCAACGAUGCGUAGCCGACCUGAGAGGGUGGUCAGCCACACUGGAACUGAGACACGGUCCAGACUACUACGGGAGGCAGCAGUAGGGAAUCGUCCGCAAUGGGCGAAAGCUUGACGGAGCAACGCCGAGUGAGUGAUGAAAGUCUUCGGAUCGUAGAACUCUGUUAUUAGGAAAGAACAAAUGUGUAAGUUACUAUGAACGGCUUGACGGUACUUAAUCAGAAAGCAACGGCUAACUACGUG
rnacentral:rRNA from 1 species